rnacentral:rRNA from 1 species
GACGAACGCUGGCGGCGUGCUUAACACAUGCAAGUCGAACGGAAAGGCCCUGCUUUUGUGGGGUGCUCGAGUGGCGAACGGGUGAGUAACACGUGAGUAACCUGCCCUUGACUUUGGGAUAACUUCAGGAAACUGGGGCUAAUACCGGACAUGAGCUCCUGCUGCAUGUUGGGGGUUUGAAAGUUUCGGCGGUUGGGGAUGGACUCGCGGCUUAUCAGCUUGUUGGUGGGGUAGUGGCUUACAAAGGCUUUGACGGGUAGCCGGCCUGCGAGGGUGACAGGCCACAUUGGGACUGAGGUACGGCCCAGACUCCUACGGGAGGCAGCAGUGGGGAAUAUUGCACAAUGGGCGGAAGCCUGAUGCAGCAACGCCGCGUGCGGGAUGACGGCCUUCGGGUUGUAAACCGCUUUCGCCUGUGACGAAGCGUGAGUGACGGUAAUGGGUAAAGAAGCACCGGCUAACUACGUG